UAAAAUAGACUAAGCUAAUUACUAAACCAAAUAUUUCAUUACUUGUUAUAAGAAUUUAAAUAUUAUUACUUAUUGUAAAUGUUUAAACUUGAAAUCUUAUAUAAAAGAAACAUACCUCCAGAAUAAUACCCAAAGACAUGUUUUUAAAGCUUUUAUUUAAAAAAAGGGUAAAACAAGAGAUGACAUUUUAAAAAGACAAGACAGUAAUUAAAUCAUAGUACCGUGUCCCUUUUAAUUUGCCAUAAUAAUUCCUUUUCUUUGGAGUAUUCAUUUUUAUGCUCAUUUCUUUGCAAAGAAAAAUUACAAAAAAAAUGUUUUCCAGUAUAAAAAAUGAAUACGGGGCCAGGCGCGGUGGCUCACUCCUGUAAUCCCAGCACUUUCGGAGGCCGAGGUGGGUGGAUCACCUGAGGUCAGGAGUUUGAGAUCAGCCUGGCCAACAUGGUGAAAGCCUGUCUCUACUAAAAAUACAAAAAUUAGCCAGGCAUGGUAGCGGGCACCUGUAAAUCCCAGCUACUGGGGAGGCUGAGGCAGGAGAAUCACUUGAACCCAGGAGGUGGGGGUUGCAGUGAGCUGAGAUCGCGCUACUGCUCUCCAGCCUGGGCAACAAGAGCAAGACUCCAUCUCAAAAGAAAAAAAAAGGAUUUGGGGUCUCCUUGGGAGCUAUAAACAGUAGAUGCAUUUUUUCAGUGACAACAUGAACAUGUGAAACUGAUGAAGCAGAAAUUGUAUCUGAUUCUUACAUGUUCAUGCAUAUGGUGAUAGAAGCACAAACACUUUAUCUUGCAGACAAGAGAAUAUUGCCAGUUUUGACCUAUGAAGAACAAAAACUAGGACAAAGCUCUCUGUCAGAGAAAUCUCAUCAUUUUUCAAUACCACCAAUGCAAUUGUGAAAUGAUUUGACCUAAGGUUUAUCUAUAAUUCCUCAGUUCACAGGUACAACAAAUAUUGGCUCCUCCUUUUAAAGGCAGUGUGUGUGUAUGUAUGUGUGUGUGUGUUGUGUUGAUUGAUUUUUUUUUUUUUUUUGAAUUCUGGAAAACUCUUAACAUAAAGAUUUGGUCUAAGGGUCAGAACUUUGUUCUAGCCUGCAAGGGAUCCCUAAGUUCUGUCAUUCUACCACUAAAGCCAAGCUUCUUGGUUCUCCUCAGAAGCCUACAUCAUAGACAGAAACGGAAAGGCAAAAAUGAAAAAGAGGAAUAUGAAAAAGUGGGAGAGAAAAAGAAAAACAUGAAAAAUUUCUCUAUAAUUCUAUUAAGUGAGAAUAUGUCAGCUGGGCACAGUGGCUCAUGCCUGUAGUCCCAGUACUUUGGGAGGCCAAGGCAGGUGGAUCACUUGAGCUCAGGAGUUUGAGACCAGCCUGGCCAACAUGGUGAAAUCCCAUCUCUACUAAACAUUCAAAAAUUAGCUGGGCAUGGUGGUGCACACCUGUAGUCCCAGCUACUCGGAAGCCUGAGGCAUGAGAAUCGUUUGAACCUGGGAGGCGGAGGCUGCAGUGAGCUGAGAUUGUGCCACUGCACUCCAGCCUAGGUGACAGACGGAGACUCCAUCUCAAAAAAAAAAAAAAAAGAGAGAAUAUGUCCUGUGUUAGCUUGCUUAGGAAAUAAAGAGAGAGAGAGAGAGGGAGGGAGGGAAAGAGAGAAAGAGAGAGAGAGAAAGAGAGUGAGAGAAAGAGAGAGCAAGAGAGCAAGAGUAAGAAAGAAAGAAAAAGAAAGAAAGAAAAGAGGCAGGGCAGGAGGAGAGGAGAGAACUGGCCCACCUUCUUCCCAGUAUUCUUUUUUUUUUUUUGAGACGGAGUCUCGCUCUGUCGCCCAGGCUGGAGUGCAGGGGCGCAAUCUCGGCUCCCUGCAAGCUCCGCCUCCCGGGUUCACGCCAUUCUCCUGCCUCAGCCUCGCGAGUAGCUGGGACCACAGGCGCCACCACGCCCGGCUAAUUUUUUGUAUUUUUAGUAGAUACUGGGUUUCACCGUGUUCGAAAGGAUGGUCUUGAUCUGCUGACCUCGUGAUCCGCCCGCCUCGGCCUCCCAAAGUGCUGGGAUUACAGGCGUGAGCCACCGUGCCCGGCCCUUCCCAGUAUUCAAUGUGGCAUAUGGGGCAGCACCACCUCUGGCAAACUUUAAACCAGAGAGUGCAUGUUUUAGCAGGCCACUGAAUUAAAAUUUGUGGCUCCUGGAUUUCAAAGGCGGUUAAUGUAGUAAUUUGCUGGGAGUUAUCAAAGGCAGAGAAAAUAUUGCUCCAUGGUAAUAUCCUAGCUAUGGAAAAUAAUUAGCACUUUCAGGCAGCAAGGAUUAGAAAAGCAAAUUUUCUCUGAAUUCUCUGCCAAAUUCAGCUAAAAUUUCAGGAUACAGCACAGGAAUUCCAAGGCAGACAACCGCACGAGGUUCUAAGGUUUCACAUUCUCAAAAUUCAUCAUUCUAGAAUGUUCUAGGGUGAUAUCAUUGACCUUUGCGGGCAACCCUUUUCUGCACAGUCAGACCAGUACUGGUAGUUGAGAGUUGUGGGUAAACUUGGCUCUCAUAAAAAAGAAAGGCAUUGUAUUUCAAGUCUUUACAGUAGAUGUUUUUGUGGGACUUAUCAAAGGAGAGAAGGAACCUCUUUGAGUUGGUGAGCCAUCAACAAAUCUGAGUGCCAUUUGUGUGUUUCACUGGCCAUUCUGAACAAGUAGAAAGGAAACUAGGAUGGAAGUUAGGAAAUUAUGUUCCAUCCUGGCUCUUUCACUAAAACCCAAUUUAUGGGUAUAUAAGAUGCAAUUUCCCCUAUGUGAAAGACAAUUCAAAAAUUGCUCCAUAUCAUACGUGUCCAUACCACAAAUGGAAAGCCUAGUACUAAAGUUACAAAAUAAUGAUGUCACCUCUAGUGGUGAAAUAAGGAAACAAAAUAUAACAGCAAAAAUAAGAGUUUCCCGUCAUAAUGGUAGUUUCCUUAACAAAAAUAACCACAGGGCAACUGAUCAGAAGGAAAGUAUUACUCUAAAAUUUUAGAUUUAAAUUUGUUACUACUAUAAUAAUGCUGCAUACCAAAACUGAUUGACAUCUAAACAUUUCUGUGUAGUGCUGAGAUUUUCAUAUCUAUUUUUUUUUCAGGGUAAGACUGACUUUUUUUUGCUAAUAUUGCGCCCAUGAUAUCUUAUUGGAUUCUAAUAUAUAUAAGGAUAUCAUAUUUACAUCAACAAGAUAAUAUUUUUCUUUUUAUACUUCCAGAUCAUUGUCUCUAUAUAACAAAAAGUAUUUAAUAUUUUAAUUUUCAAAAAUGUCUCUGUAAAUAAGAUACAUC
rnacentral:lncRNA from 10 species